rnacentral:lncRNA from 1 species
CGUUGCUUGUGAUGUUGAAGAGACCCAUGUAUUGGCUUGGCGUUGCGUAAGGGAGACGUGUGUUAGGAGCGAUGACGAAAGCAAUGCCAUGGCCGCUUAAUCCUGGGAUACGAGGGUGAAUUGCGAAGACGAAGGUUGUGGAGAAGGAUGAAACGGUGCCGUUUGGCGAAUUCUUUAACCGGAUUGAUUUGUUAUAGAAGGCGUGACCUGUUUGCUGAACGGUCGUAUUGGUUAGCCUCAACAGACCGUUGGGUGUGACAGCAGCGAUCCCUUGAAUGGAUAUGUAGCUCCGUUGAGGAAAGCCAUCGUAAGUGAAGUUGAGUGUUUUAGACGAGGAUUGAAAGAGGAGGCUGAAGAAGAAGAUGGUGAGGAGCUUGAAGAACAUGGCUUCUUCUUGACUCUACUUUGUAUUUUAUUGUUUGUUGUUUUUAGAUAUUUUUUUAGUUUGUUGAAAUAGUAGAAUGAUGUAUACAAUUUAUGGUGUGAAGAAGAGAGUGGAAAAGUCUUUGAAGGUUUAUCAUCUUUGUGGGGAUGCUCGUGAUUAUGGAAUUUAAUCAAGGAGACUAGAACUAUCUUUUGUUUUUAUACUCCAUUUUCUAAAGGCGUCUCCAAUCUAUAAAUCUCCUCCAUCCAUCACGUUUUGUUGAGUCGACAUCUGGUCAAAGUACUUAAGCAACGACCAUAAGGAAAUCCAAAAACGAAAAAUAAUAACAGAAAAAAUCUAAUUAAGCAAGAUUAAUUGGUUUGACCAAUUCUCUUCUUAUUUAUUUUAUAUCUUUUAUUUUCACAAAAUAACAUAGAACGUAUUCUACUUCGAAUACGUAAGGACCGUACCUUUUACAUUUUUUUUGAAUAUACGUUAAAUUUAGGGGAAUUAGGUUAUAUAGCUACGAAAUAAACCAUAAUUAAAUAUCUAACAAAAAAAAACACUUCCAUUAUUUCUGUAUUAUAUACUAUAUUACCUUUACUCUUCCGGUUAAUGAAAGAGAAACUACUUUUUCUUUUUCUUCUUCUUCGAUUAUCAACUACCACACUCUUCUUCCAUCUCCAUCACUUUCUUCCGUCAUCACUAACUCUAUAGUCACCAUAAGCAUCUCCAAAUCUAUAAUAUCUGCUACAUAAAUCAUAUAAGCUUCUGAAUUUUACAGAUCACGAUAUGGUUGAAGCGUUUUCAUUUAUCAUAUAAGUUUCAGGUUGUACUAUAUACUAUUUAAACAAUAUAUACUAUGUUAUUUCGUUUGUUACUAUUAUAUUUCAAUAAUGUUUCAUAUUAUAUAAUGCGUCCAUAUUUUGAUAUUUGGAGUAGGGUUUAUAUUUUUUUUUAGGAUUUAGUGAUUUGUGUUUUGAGUUUAGUUUAUAGAAGAUUUGAGUUGACUUUGGGAUAAUCAUUUUCCCUGCAAUCAUAUAUAUAUGUCAAAAUUUGAACAUUAAUAAUAAUAUAUAUACUAUGAUAUUUUGUUUGUUACUAUUCUAUUUUGAUAAUGCUUCACAUUAUAUACCAUGUGAAAAUUUGAUAUUUGGUGUAGAGUUUAUAUUUCUUUUUAGGGUUUAGUGAUUAGGGUCUUGGCUUUACUUUUUUUAGGGUUUAGUGACUAGUGUUUUAGAUUUAGUUUAUGGAAGGUUUGGGUUAACUUUAGGGUAAUCAUUACCUUCUUUACUAUUUGGUUUGUUACUACUCUAUUUUGAUAAUGAUUCAUAUUAUGUAUUAUGUGCAGAUUUGAUAUUUGUGUUAAGGUUUAUAUUUCUUUUUGGGGUUUAAUGAUUAGUGUUUUUUGGGUUUAUAUUUCUUUUUAAAGUUUAGUGAUUAAUAUUACUAUUUCAUUUGUUACUAUGUACUAUGCUAUUUCUUUUGUUAUUAUUCUAUUUUGACAAUAUUUCAUAUUAUGCACUAUAUACAGAUUUAAAAUUUAGAUUAAAGUUUAUAUUUCUUUUUAAGAUUUAAUGAUUAGUGUUUUAGAUUUAGUUUAUGAAAGAUUUGGGUAGAUGUUUUGGUAAACAUUACCUCCACUAUUAUUAAACUAUUUAUAAUUUUAUUAAUAUGAACUAUACUAUUUAAAAUGUUUUAUUCUAUUUAUUGUUUAUCUUCUUCUGCUUGUUUUAGAUUUGACGAGCUCUGUUUCAUCCUUAAUUACUUCUAUUGUAGCCACCAUGUUUGUAAUCACCACCACCGCCAGCGGCGCGAUAGCCACUAUUGCCGCAAUAAUCAUCAACGUCGUUUCAUUCUAAGAUAAAUUGGGAUGAUUGGAGGAAGAAAUAAUUUUACUGGCAACCUGUUCAAAAAAGAACGAAACCGGGAAAAUAGUGCCUAAAUGCUAUGAAAUCUAAUAACGUCAAAAUCAACGCCAUAUUCUUAAUUUGUUACCGAAAUAUGGCUGGUUGGAAAAUAAACCCUUAUUGUAAUGAUUAUUUGUUUCAAAUAUAAAUCAAGUACAAGUAGCAAAGCAAAUCACUUGAAUAAUAUAAACUAAAUAGCAAGUAUCUGGAAAUUAAGUAUUUGCCUCAUGUUAUCCCUGGAUGAUAUAUAUUUUACAUUUUUAUAUAUAAAAAUUGUGUUAAAAAGAGAUUUUAAUAAUUUACUAAAAAUAUAACUAGAUUUUAAAUUUUGACCUAAGAAUUCAAACUGUGCACUAUUUUACUUUACUUUUAAGUAAUAUGACCCCAGGGAGGAAUAAUUAAAGGUUGAAUGGUUAAAAUGAGAGAAGUUGUAUUGCAUGAACCCCUGACAAUUAUCUUCCAAACCCGCCAGAUCCAAGAAGAUCUUUCUCCUUGAAACCUUUGGUCGCAUAGUACAAAUCUUUGAACCUUAAUCUGUUGUUCCCCAACUCUGUUUCCCAGUCGUCGAGCUCCUCUUGGAACAUUCUUCUCCUCCUUGCGAUAAACCAGACAAGGAAGAUACACGAGAAAAUCAAAAUGAUGGAAAUGGACGGUAUCCCGAACCUGCAAAAAUACGAGAUUCUCGUGGGAUGGAGCAGAGGAAGCUUCGGGAGUUUUGAUAAAUCCAAUGGUGGAGCCUCGCGGUUGACCCCGAAGCUCCACCCAAGAACGUAGUGUUCCGCGGGAACAGUACCAGUGGCGGAGGAGAAACCCACGAACAUAUCUUGGAGAAUAACAAAAGAAAGAUCUCUGACAAUGGAAACAAGCGGUUUUUUAGGUUUCUCCUCGUUCAGUGGACCCAUCAUCACAUUGAUUUUAUGUGUACGACCAUUGUAAUCGAUCCAAACCUGCAUCGGUUUACUACCAAUCAAAGUAAGGUUAUUGAACUGGCCUUUCUUGUCCCACCAUCCAGCUGGUGAACUUUUCACCGACGUCAAACUAUUGAUAUCAAUUCCGACAUGGUUAUCGUUGAUAUCAUUGAACUCUGUACUCCGUAUAGUAUCCAAUUCGAUAGCGAACACAUGAUUCGUUUUAUUACCGUUGCUUGUGAUGUUGAAGAGACCCAUGUAUUGGCUUGGCGUUGCGUAAGGGAGACGUGUGUUAGGAGCGAUGACGAAAGCAAUGCCAUGGCCGCUUAAUCCUGGGAUACGAGGGUGAAUUGCGAAGACGAAGGUUGUGGAGAAGGAUGAAACGGUGCCGUUUGGCGAAUUCUUUAACCGGAUUGAUUUGUUAUAGAAGGCGUGACCUGUUUGCUGAACGGUCGUAUUGGUUAGCCUCAACAGACCGUUGGGUGUGACAGCAGCGAUCCCUUGAAUGGAUA